GGAUAAAGUCUUAGUCAUGUGGGCUUCUAUAACAAGUCACCAUAGAUUGAGUAUCUUAAACAACAGGAAUUUAUUUCUUACAGUUCUGGAGGCUAGAAGUGUAAGCUCAAAGUGUUGACAAAUCAGGUGGCUAGAGGAGGUGAUCUUCUUGGUUUGCAGAUGGCUGUCUUCAGGGUAUCCUUACACAUUAAUUCCAUUCUAAUGUCCUAUUUAUCUUCCAAAUGUUUCAUUUUCAUAUACCAUCACAUUAGGGCUUCAGAGUAUGAAUUUUAAGGAGACACAUAUUUUCAGUCCAUAGCAAAUAAUUAUGCUUUAAUUAUUAUCAGAUACUGUGUAGCAAUGCUUCUUCAGUGCAUAUCUUUUGGGGACAGAUAUUUGUUUGGGCACAUGUAAAUUAAAAGAACAAAAGUCAUCAACUGAUAUCAUACACACUAUCUCAUGGCAAGGAAGUGCAUAGACUGUGUGAUAGAUUGCAGUAGCAUCUGGCUGGUCCCAGGGCAACCUACUGCCUUUGUGUUUCAGUUAUACCUAUAUGGAACGGUGUUGAAGAAAAUAUCUAACACUCAGGGGUGUUAUGAAGAAUCCAUGAAAAUAUAUAAAAUACUUAGA
rnacentral:lncRNA from 1 species